GACGAACGCUGGCGGCGUGCCUAAUACAUGCAAGUCGAACGCAGUGGGGGCGGGUGAGUAACACGUGGGUAACCUCCCAUCAGAGGGGAUAACACUUGGAAACAGGUGCUAAACCGAUACUGAUGUAUGGACCCGCGGGGCAUUAGCUAGUGGGUGGGGUAACGGCUCACCAAGGCCACGAGGCAUAGCCGGCCGGAGAGGGUGAUCGGCCACACUGGGACUGAGACAGGGCCCAGACUCCUACGGGAGGCAGCAGUAGGGAAUCUUCCGCAAUGGACGAAAGUCUGACCGAGCAACGCCGCGUGUGUGAAGAAGGUUUUCGGGUCGUAAAGUUCUGUUGUUAGAGAGGCGUUACCUGACGAGAAAGCAACGGCUAACUCCGUGCCAGCAGCCGCGGUAAUAC
rnacentral:rRNA from 1 species